rnacentral:rRNA from 1 species
AUUGAACGCUGGCGGCAUGCCUUACACAUGCAAGUCGAACGGCAGCACGGGUGCUUGCACCUGGUGGCGAGUGGCGAACGGGUGAGUAAUACAUCGGAACAUGUCCUGUAGUGGGGGAUAGCCCGGCGAAAGCCGGAUUAAUACCGCAUACGAUCUACGGAUGAAAGCGGGGGCCCUUCGGGCCUCGCGCUAUCGGGUUGGCCGAUGGCUGCUUAGCUAGUUGGUGGGGUAAAGGCCUACCAAGGCGACGAUCAGUAGCUGGUCUGAGAGGACGACCAGCCACACUGGGACUGAGACACGGCCCAGACUCCUACGGGAGGCAGCAGUGGGGAAUUUUGGACAAUGGGCGAAAGCCUGAUCCAGCAAUGCCGCGUGUGUGAAGAAGGCCUUCGGGUUGUAAAGCACUUUUGUCCGGAAAGAAAUACUUGGCCCUAAUACGGUCGGGGGAUGACGGUACCGGAAGAAUAAGCACCGGCUAACUACGUG